AAGAAAAAAAAUUUUGCUGCAGCAAUGGGAUUGUAUCAGAAAAACAAGAAAAAAAAAGAGGAACACGGGUUGCUGAUGGAAACAGAUUGGAAAAGGUCAUUUUCUGGUCAAAUUUGUUUUAUUGUUUUUAAUUUUUGUUCAAAAUAUUUUUAUUUAUUUAUUUAAUGAGUGAAAAUUUGCAGCAGUUGGGUGCCUGAGAUGGGGUUCCAUUAUUUACGAAGUGGGUCACAUGCUCAUGUCUGGAAGAUGAUAACAGAUAACUGGUGCAAUAAUAUAUAUUGUAUAUGUUUAUUUGUAAAGUGACCGAUGAGGACUUUAAAGAUAAUAAUAGGUUGGACGCGAAAGGAUAACAGGAGUUUUAGAUUUAUAUUGGUUGUGAAAAGAAUGAACAAAAUGUAAGCCGAAUUUACAAAAAAGGCAUAAGGGAUAUAAAGAAUUCUUGAACGAAAAAGUGUGGAUGCCAUUUUCAAUUAAAUGGUAAGAGCUAGC
rnacentral:lncRNA from 1 species